rnacentral:rRNA from 1 species
GAUGAACGCUAGCGGCAGGCCUAAUACGUGCAAGACGAACGGUAAGAUUUGUAGCAAUACGGAUCCUAGAGUGUCGUAAGGGUGCGUAACACGUAUGCAAUCUGCCCUGUACAGGAGGAUAGCUCCCCGAAAGGGGAAUUAACCCUCCAUAGGAUCGUAGAGUGGCAUCACUUAGCGAUUAAAACUGAGGUGGUACAGGAUGAGCAUGCGUCUGAUUAGCUAGUUGGCGGGGUAACGGCCCACCAAGGCGAUGAUCAGUAGGGGAACUGAGAGGUUGAGCCGCCACACUGGCACUGAGAUACGGGCCAGACUCCUACGGGGGGCAGCAGUAGGGAAUAUUGGACAAUGGGUGAGAGCCUGAUCCAGCCAUGCCGCGUGCAGGAUGACGGCCUUCUGGGUUGUAAACUGCUUUUAUCUGGGGAUAAAAAGGCCUUGCGAGGCAAACUGAAGGUACCAGAUGAAUAAGCCACGGCUAACUACGUGCCAGCCGCCGCUGUAACAC